AUUGAACGCUGGCGGCAGGCUUAACACAUGCAAGUCGAGCGGGGGAGGUUGCUUCGGUAACUGACCUAGCGGCGGACGGGUGAGUAAUGCUUAGGAAUCUGCCUAUUAGUGGGGGACGACAUUCCGAAAGGGAUGCUAAUACCGCAUACGCCCUACGGGGGAAAGCAGGGGAUCUUCGGACCUUGCGCUAAUAGAUGGGCCUAAGUCGGAUUAGCUAGUUGGUGGGGUAAAGGCCUACCAAGGCGACGAUCUGUAGCGGGUCUGAGAGGAUGAUCCGCCACACUGGGACUGAGACACGGCCCAGACUCCUACGGGAGGCAGCAGUGGGGAAUAUUGGACAAUGGGCGGAAGCCUGAUCCAGCCAUGCCGCGUGUGUGAAGAAGGCCUUUUGGUUGUAAAGCACUUUAAGCGAGGAGGAGGCUCUUAAGGUUAAUACCCAAGAUGAGUGGACGUUACUCGCAGAAUAAGCACCGGCUAACUCUGUGCCAGCCGCCGCAGUAACAC
rnacentral:rRNA from 1 species